UACAGAGGAUGCAAGCGUUAUCCGGAAUGAUUGGGCGUAAAGCGUCUGUAGGUGGCUUUUUAAGUCCGCCGUCAAAUCCCAGGGCUCAACUCUGGACAGGCGGUGGAAACUACCAAGCUGGAGUACGGUAGGGGCAGAGGGAAUUUCCGGUGGAGCGGUGAAAUGCGUAGAGAUCCGGAGGAACACCAACGGCGUAGGCAGCGCCCUAGACGAGACCUGACGCUCAGGCACGAAAGCGCGGGGAGCGAACAGG
rnacentral:rRNA from 1 species